CGGGAUGUAGCUCAGUUGGUAGAGUACGCGCCUGGGGGGCGUGAAGUCGCAAGUUCAAGUCUUGUCAUCCCGA
rnacentral:tRNA from 1 species